AACUCCGGGAAACCGGGGCUAAUACCGGAUGGUUGUUUGAACCGCAUGGUUCAAACAUAAAAGGUGGCUUCGGCUACCACUUACAGAUGGACCCGCGGCGCAUUAGCUAGUUGGUGAGGUAACGGCUCACCAAGGCAACGAUGCGUAGCCGACCUGAGAGGGUGAUCGGCCACACUGGGACUGAGACACGGCCCAGACUCCUACGGGAGGCAGCAGUAGGGAAUCUUCCGCAAUGGACGAAAGUCUGACAGAACAACGCCGCGUGAGUGAUGAAGGUUUUC
rnacentral:rRNA from 1 species